rnacentral:rRNA from 1 species
AUUGAACGCUGGCGGCAGGCUUAACACAUGCAAGUCGAACGAUGACUCUCUAGCUUGCUAGAGAUGAUUAGUCGCGGACGGGUGAGUAACAUUUAGGAAUCUACCUAGUAGUGGGGGAUAGCUCGGGGAAACUCGAAUUAAUACCGCAUACGACCUACGGGUGAAAGGGGGCGCAAGCUCUUGCUAUUAGAUGAGCCUAAAUCAGAUUAGCUAGUUGGUGGGGUAAAGGCCCACCAAGGCGACGAUCUGUAACUGGUCUGAGAGGAUGAUCAGUCACACCGGAACUGAGACACGGUCCGGACUCCUACGGGAGGCAGCAGUGGGGAAUAUUGGACAAUGGGGGCAACCCUGAUCCAGCCAUGCCGCGUGUGUGAAGAAGGCCUUUUGGUUGUAAAGCACUUUAAGCAGGGAGGAGAGGCUAAUGGUUAAUACCCAUUAGAUUAGACGUUACCUGCAGAAUAAGCACCGGCUAACUCUGUG